GAUGAACGCUGGCGGCGUGCCUAAUACAUGCAAGUCGAGCGAAUGGAUUAAGAGCUUGCUCUUAUGAAGUUAGCGGCGGACGGGUGAGUAACUCGUGGGUAACCUGCCCAUAAGACUGGGAUAACUCCGGGAAACCGGGGCUAAUACCGGAUAACAUUUUGAACCGCAUGGUUCGAAAUUGAAAGGCGGCUUCGGCUGUCACUUAUGGAUGGACCCGCGUCGCAUUAGCUAGUUGGUGAGGUAACGGCUCACCAAGGCAACGAUGCGUAGCCGACCUGGGAGGGUGGUCGGCCACACUGGGACUGGGACACGGCCCAGACUCCUACGGGAGGCAGCAGUAGGGAAUCUUCCGCAAUGGACGAAAGUCUGACGGAGCAACGCCGCGUGAGUGAUGAAGGCUUUCGGGUCGUAAAACUCUGUUGUUAGGGAAGAACAAGUGCUAGUUGAAUAAGCUGACACCUUGACGGUACCUAACCAGAAAGCCACGGCUAACUACGUGCCAGCCGCCGCUGUAA
rnacentral:rRNA from 1 species